rnacentral:lncRNA from 1 species
CGAAGUGGAAACUAACCAAUUUAGAUGUGGAGAAGAACGAAGCCAGCCGCACAAUUUGUUAUUUGUCAAUUUCAACAAGAAAGAACAAGUUAGAAGAAGAGUAAGCUUUUAGAUCCUCUGGCAUACAGAUUCUGGGUAAUGAAGGGAAGGGAGGAAUAAGAGCAGAGAUAUGAGAGAAGAAGUGUUGAAUCCGCGAAGAGAGAUCAAACGGUGAGUUAACAGUUGUUAAAGUUGGGUUACAAGUGUGGGCUGCAAAUAAAAGACAUAAGAUAGUAUUGGCCCUUAUUUACAAAUAACAGCAAAUAGUUCAGUUGAACUAUUAUCAAAUUAUUAAAUUUAUAGAUCAAACAAAGUAAUCAACUGUGAGCAAACGAGCACAUAUACUAAAAGGUAAACAGUGAAAUAUGAAGAGAAAACCCAAGCAGAACAACGUCUAAUACAGAAUUUAUUCAGCGGUCAUAGCUAAACAAUUUUAUAAAGUGUCAAAUAUAACCCUAAAAGUGAAGAUCAUAUUUUCCAAAAAGAAGGGCAUCGAAGUAAUCUAACCUGGACAGAUAAUCUUUAACUCAAAAUAUAUCCGUGAUCCCAUAAAAAUCUGAAGAGAUAAUGUUUAACCCCCAACGUUUAUUGUUGAUCCCCAUGAAACACAGGUGUUAGCAAACUAAGAAAACAACUGAAACCACCAAAAAACAAGAGGAGCCUGAUGUUACACGUUUGAGAAGAGAAAGAGACAUGUAUCCCUUACUCUCUUCCUUAUUAGGUUUGGAAUUGAAAUUAGGAACUUUUUUAGGCUGCAUCUUUAAUUCUUUUCUUAAAUCUUUUAUGCUAUUUUUCAUGUUUGUUGAUUAUAAUUAAAAUUUUAAAAAAUAUGUUCAGUUUUUUAGGACUGGCAACGGCAACAGUCCACGAGGUCAUUAUCCAAUUGAAGGAUUUAGAUUUAUUCUUGUUUUCGCUAUAGGGACUUAGAGUGUAGUCAGUCACACAAUUUUAUUCUUAAUGAUAUCUGCCAUUAGAAAAGCACUUGGAGUAACGAGAGCAGGUGAUAGUGAUACCACUCAAUUUGCAGUUUGCAUUUCACUGAGUGGAAGUGUAAAAGCCAGAAAAUUAUUUAUCAACACCCACAUAUUAAUUUGAAGUAUCGUUUGUAUUAGGAUUCUAUCCAUUAUUUUCAGCUUUUAUUUUUUGGCUGGAGCUUUGCCAAGAAGUUGUUUGGAGCUGAUUAUUAGAAUAUUUAAAAAGAAAAAAAUUAAUGCUUCAUAAUCUCUAUUUAGCAUUUAUUUUGCUGUUUCUUUUAGGUUCUGGGAUAGAAAGAAUUAGAAUGCAUUUUUAUUUCAAUUUUAAAGUUUCAAAUUUUGUGUCGAUCUGAGAAAAUCUUUAUGAUAAUUUCCUUUAUAUAUGAGAAGCCCUCUAAUCUGCUGUGAAUGAAACCAUAGUUAAUGGAGGUGUAACCUUUUUGUCCUCGAAUUCUUGUGAAUGAGAUGAAAAAUUUAAGGAGCUGUUAGAGAAUGCAUAGAAGAUGCAUGAUACAGGUAUCUUUCAAAGUUCAUUUUCUUUAAUGCAAAGGAAAAGAGAAAGAACUCCUAAAAGAAAUAAUCCAAACGUGAUUGUUGUAUUUUGGCUGCAGCUUUGGCUAUGUAUUGGAGUAAUUACAUACUUUGUUGUGGUUAUGAUUUUGGAAGCUACUGUUAAAAGAGAUGAUAAUAUGUACAACAGGGAGGCAAAAUGAAGAAAAAGCCAAGCAAUACUUUAUACGUUUGAAGAAACUAACAACAUAGCUAAGUAAUGGUAGCUCUACUUACCAUCAAUUAGCAACACAAAUAGUGUGACAUAAAGUUUUCACUUCUCUGGAAUUUACUAUUGGUAAACUACAGGUAAGUUAGAUUUGUUGUUACGCAAGUUACUCCUUGGUCGAAAAAUAAAAAUACGCCAUGAUAUAUCACAUGUAAUGACGUUGAGAUUGCUUUGUGCAAUAUUUAUGCAUCUUGAGCUACUUAUCUUGGAUGAUUCGUUAUUAUGUCAUUCAUAUGCUUGGUUGAAACAGAGCAGGAGGUAGCACUUGAGGGCUUUGCCGGAGUAGUUCGUAUGGAACCUGAGAAGGCUGAGUGGUAAGGGGUUUAUUAAGUUAAUAAACUCCUUAUCAAAAAAAGUAUGAUAGCUGGUAUAUUGAUCAACUACUUCCCAUCUGUGUUUGCUUUAUAAAGAAAAUUGAGUUUUAUCUAUAGGAUUUAUGAUGUUGAAAAUUGGUGGAGUAUUGGAUGUUGAUGUUUUCUUAGUUAGAAAAAUUAGUUUGAUGAUUUUACACAAUUAGAUUAUAAGGCGAUAACAUUCUAUAUAAUUAACCCCAAUAUAUUCUUCUNN